rnacentral:rRNA from 1 species
UACGAAGGGGGCUAGCGUUGUUCGGAAUUACUGGGCGUAAAGCGCGUGUAGGCGGGGCUUUAAGUCAGGGGGGAAAUGCCAGGGCUCAACCUUGGAACUGCCUUUGAUACUGGAGACCUUGAGUCCGGGAGAGGUGAGUGGAAUUGCGAGUGUAGAGGUGAAAUUCGUAGAUAUUAGCAGGAACACCGGUGGCGAAGGCGGCUGUCUGGACGACAACUGACGCUGAGGCGCGAAAGCGUGGGGAUCAAACAGG